rnacentral:lncRNA from 1 species
UUGCUGGGUUGGGUUUCGAUAUUUUUCGUGUUCUUCAUUUUUAUUUUUAUUUUGUAUUUGAUAUAUUUUGUUCAAUAAUUUUUUUUUGUUUUUGUGUUUCUUUGGUAUUUAAUUUAUUUUUUUUACUUUGGUUUUGUUUUUUGGGUUGUUUUUUUACUCAAACCAUGAUUUUUUGUUCGGUUUAUGGUCGAACCAAAAGAGUCAGGUCAACUCGAUCAGGUUAAAAAUGGG